UGAGUACGGCGGAACACGUGAAAUUCCGUCGGAAUCCGGGAGGACCAUCUCCCAAGGCUAAAUACUCCCUAGUGACCGAUAGUGAACCAGUACCGUGAGGGAAAGGUGAAAAGCACCCCGGAAGGGGAGUGAAACAGUUCCUGAAACCGUGUGCCUACAAGUAGUUAGAGCCCGUUAAUGGGUGAUAGCGUGCCUUUUGUAGAAUGAACCGGCGAGUUACGAUUUGUUGCAAGGUUAAGCGGAAAAAGCGGAGCCGUAGCGAAAGCGAGUCUGAAUAGGGCGCAUAAGUAACAGGUCGUAGACCCGAAACCAGGUGAUCUACCCAUGUCCAGGAUGAAGGUAAGGUAAUACUUACUGGAGGUCCGAACCCACGCACGUUGAAAAGUGCGGGGAUGAGGUGUGGGUAGCGGAGAAAUUCCAAUCGAACUUGGAGAUAGCUGGUUCUCUCCGAAAUAGCUUUAGGGCUAGCCUCGAGGUAAAGAGUCAUGGAGGUAGAGCACUGUUUGGACUAGGGGCCCUUCUCGGGUUACCGAAUUCAGAUAAACUCCGAAUGCCAUGUACUUAUACUCGGGAGUCAGACUGCGAGUGAUAAGAUCCGUAGUCGAAAGGGAAACAGCCCAGACCACCAGUUAAGGUCCCCAAAUAUAUGUUAAGUGGAAAAGGAUGUGGGGUUGCUUAGACAACCAGGAUGUUGGCUUAGAAGCAGCCACCAUUGAAAGAGUGCGUAAUAGCUCACUGGUCGAGUGACCCCGCGCCGAAAAUGUACCGGGGCUAAACAUAUUACCGAAACUGUGGAUGAACCUCUUUAGAGGUUCGUGGUAGGAGAGCGUUCUAAGGGCGGUGAAGUCAGACCGGAAGGACUGGUGGAGCGCUUAGAAGUGAGAAUGCCGGUAUGAGUAGCGAAAGAAGGGUGAGAAUCCCUUCCACCGAAUAUCUAAGGUUUCCUGAGGAAGGCUCGUCCGCUCAGGGUUAGUCGGGACCUAAGCCGAGGCCGAUAGGCGUAGGCGAUGGACAACAGGUAGAGAUUCCUGUACCAGUGCUAAUUGUUUAACCGAUGGGGUGACACAGAAGGAUAGGGAAUCGCACGAAUGGAAAUGUGCGUCCAAGCAGUGAGUGUGAGAAGUAGGCAAAUCCGCUUCUCGCGAAGCAUGAGCUGUGAUGGGGAAGGAAAUUAAGUACGGAAGUUCCUGAUUUCACGCUGUCAAGAAAAGCCUCUAGGAAGAGUAGUACUGCCCGUACCGCAAACCGACACAGGUAGAUGAGGAGAGAAUCCUAAGGUGAGCGAGAGAACUCUCGUUAAGGAACUCGGCAAAAUGACCCCGUAACUUCGGGAGAAGGGGUGCUCUAUUAGGGUGCAAGCCCGAGAGAGCCGCAGUGAAUAGGCCCAGGCGACUGUUUAGCAAAAACACAGGUCUCUGCAAAACCGUAAGGUGACGUAUAGGGGCUGACGCCUGCCCGGUGCUGGAAGGUUAAGAGGAGUGCUUAGCUUCGGCGAAGGUACGAAUUGAAGCCCCAGUAAACGGCGGCCGUAACUAUAACGGUCCUAAGGUAGCGAAAUUCCUUGUCGGGUAAGUUCCGACCCGCACGAAAGGCGCAACGAUCUGGGCACUGUCUCAACGAGAGACUCGGUGAAAUUAUAGUACCUGUGAAGAUGCAGGUUACCCGCGACAGGACGGAAAGACCCCGUGGAGCUUUACUGCAACCUGAUAUGGAAUGUUUGUACCGCUUGUACAGGAUAGGUAGGAGCCGAAGAGACGUGUGCGCUAGCAUACGAGGAGGCAAUGGUGGGAUACUACCCUGGCUGUAUGACCAUUCUAACCCGCCACGCUUAGCGCGUGGGGAGACAGUGUCAGGUGGGCAGUUUGACUGGGGCGGUCGCCUCCUAAAGAGUAACGGAGGCGCCCAAAGGUUCCCUCAGAAUGGAUGGAAAUCAUUCGCAGAGUGUAAAGGCACAAGGGAGCUUGACUGCGAGACUGACAAGUCGAGCAGGGACGAAAGUCGGGCUUAGUGAUCCGGUGGUUCCGCAUGGAAGGGCCAUCGCUCAACGGAUAAAAGCUACCCCGGGGAUAACAGGCUUAUCUCCCCCAAGAGUCCACAUCGACGGGGAGGUUUGGCACCUCGAUGUCGGCUCGUCGCAUCCUGGGGCUGUAGUCGGUCCCAAGGGUUGGGCUGUUCGCCCAUUAAAGCGGCACGCGAGCUGGGUUCAGAACGUCGUGAGACAGUUCGGUCCCUAUCCGUCGCGGGCGCAGGAAAUUUGAGAGGAGCUGUCCUUAGUACGAGAGGACCGGGAUGGACACA
rnacentral:rRNA from 1 species